GCUGGGCCUCCUUCCCCGGGGGACAAGCAGCGACUGCGUCCCCGCCCGGCCCCAACUCCCGCUUGAGGCCUUCGUUCUUCCUGCGGACGGUGAGGCCGCCCCUGGUCACCUUUGAGAAGCAGCAAUCCUGAGCGCCUCUCCAGUUUCUCCUCCUUUCUCUUUUCUCGGGGACACCUGCUGCCCCGUCCCCACCAGGCCGGCGCUGCGGUGGGUGGCGAGCGGGUGUGCUGGAGGCAGGACGGGUCCCGGCCGUCUCAGGAGGUGACUCAGCAGGAGGUUCUGAGGUCGGGGGUGACCUGGAGGUACACCCAGUCCCCACUGAGGACCAGCCUCCAGUAUCUCCAGCACGGACUCUCACUCCGGCCUCAGCUCUGGACGGCUCAGUAGUGAACUCACUGGUCCAGAACCUUGGAAACCAGAGGCUCUUGGGACGCUGUUUGACUGCUCUCGAGUUUCCUGCAUGAUGGGAAACCCCAGGGAAGGGAGCAGGGGAGGAGUCAACUGGGAGCGGGGCCAGAGAAGCAGUGAGAGAAGUCUGGACCAGCAGGCGGAGAGUGGUGCCACGUGCCCCCGCAGGUGCGGAGGAGAGCGCGGCCUGGAAAGGCCUUGGGUUUGGCAGGAAGGAGACUGAGGAUUGCCAAGAGGACGGCGGGGAGAGGUCACGGCGUGAGUUGUGGUCUUCAGUAAUUUGAACCGGAAGGCAGAAGACAGAGAACUUGGGAAGGAGCAGUCUUGGUUACCCUGCUUAGGCGGAGAGGGUAUUGGGUGCCUAAAAACCUCAGGUCAAGGCAGGCGUGAAACCAAAGGCCCUCACUCCAUCUCUCUCUGAGUGACCACAGGAGUCUCCUGACUGUCUUCCUGCCGUCUCGGGACAGCCACUGUCCACUCAGCUACCAGAGCCAUUUUGGAAAGCAUGGAUCCUGCAGUGUUCCUUCACUGGUCAAGACCUUCCAACACCAUGGGCGUCCUUACUGGUCCUCCAAGUUCAACCUCAGCAUUCCUGGAUUAGAAUCCCUGGGACACUGGAUAAAAACAGAUUCCUGGGCCCCAAGUCAACCUACAGGAUCAGCACCUCUGGGGAGAUGGGAAGCGGCAUUUUCACACAGCCCCUCCCAGGGCUUUGCAUGGCUUGUCCCUCCAGAUCUCACAGCCCGUGCUACUUCGCCCCCUCAAGGCCUCCGCUCCCCGCCCCCUCCUCAGAUCACCGGAUCAAAAACGCUUCCUGUCGUCACUUGCUCUCUCUUGACCUCAGUCUUCUUCACAACGUGUUCACAAGCUAAGAUGUAAUUAUUGUGUGUAUAUUGGCUGAUGGGAUUUGUCUGUCUCAUUCAUCACAUUUCCUGUGCUUGGAACAGUGCUUGGUACGUAAAAGUCACUCAACACAAAUGUGUUUACAAUUCCAGUCGACUAUUGAUAACGGUGCACAGAAACGAUAUGGCAGGCAGAAUGCGGGUCUUCCGUCUCAGCCCAUGGUGUCACAUCUCUGAAUGUCUCAUUACACACCAAAAAUACUUUACAGAUGGAGUUAAGGUUACUAAUCAGUGACCUUAGAUAGGAGGUGUAGGGGGUUGAAAUGUGUCCCCCCCCACACAAAUUCUUGUCCCCCUGGAACCUCAGAAUGUGAUCUGAAGUUGAAAUAGGGUCUUUGUAGAUGAAAUUAGUUAUGGAUGAUCUUGAGAUGAAGUCAGCCUGGGACUAAGGUGGGCCCUAAAUCCAGUAACUGGUGUCUUUACAAAAGGAGGAGACAGCACAGAAACACUGGGGAGAGGUCAUGUGAAGAGGGAGGCAGAGACUGGAGGGACGCUGCCAAAGCCACAGAAUGCCAGGAGUCACCAGAAUCUGGAAGAGGCAGAGAAUCCGCUCCUAGAGCUCCCCAAGAGAGAGCGCAGCCCUUGCAAGACCUUGAUUUUGGACCUCUGGCCUCCAAAACUGUGAGAGAACAGAUCCCUGUUGUUUUAAGCUGCCCAGGAUACGGUAAUCUGUUGUGGCACCUCUAGGGAACGAAUACAGGAGGAUUAUGCUGGAUUACCCAAGUUGGCCCCCGAGCCUCUAAAAACAGAGAAAUGAGGACGAACAGUUGAGAGAGUUUCAAGACUUGAGAAGGACGUAGGCUGCCACUGCUGACUUGAAGUGAGGGGGAAGGCGAAAAGCAGGACAAGAAAGGAAUUCUGUCAACAUCCCAAACGAGCUUGAAGAGGGAGCUUCACCAGAACCUCCAGCAUGAAUGAACCGUGGCGACACACGAUUGCCGUCUUGCGGGAUGCAGAGGACCCCAUCUCAUUCGACCCAGUUUCAUUCACGGCGAUUUCUGCCCCACGGAAACUGUCAGAUGAGUGCUUUAAGCCACUGCGUGCUAACGUGCUACGCAGCAACAG
ensembl:lncRNA